rnacentral:lncRNA from 1 species
GCCGAGCCCUCCAUGGGAAUGAAAUCUACUGAAUCUGAAAUGCUGGAUGCAGCUCAUCCAAAUGAUGAAAAACCUGCAACCAAGGGCAAGAGUACAUCUGUUGAUGUGGUAAAAUUAGAAAAGCCAAAAGAGGAAGGGGUUGAACCAGAAAGGCUGGAAGAUGAAGGGGUAGAAAUGGAAAAACUAGAUGAUGAAACCGAUUACGAUGAAGAUCCAGAGGAGGAUCCCGAGGAGGAGCCAAUGG